rnacentral:rRNA from 1 species
UACGUAGGUGACAAGCGUUGUUCGGAUUUACUGGGCGUAAAGGGCGCGUAGGCGGCGCGGUAAGUCACUUGUGAAAUCUCUGAGCUUAACUCAGAACGGCCAAGUGAUACUGCAGUGCUAGAGUGCAGAAGGGGCAAUCGGAAUUCUUGGUGUAGCGGUGAAAUGCGUAGAUAUCAAGAGGAACACCUGAGGUGAAGACGGGUUGCUGGGCUGACACUGACGCUGAGGCGCGAAAGCCAGGGGAGCAAACGGG